UACGUAGGGGGCUAGCGUUGGUCCGGAAUCAUUGGGCGUAAAGCGCGUGUAGGCGGUCCGGUAAGUCCGCUGUGAAAGUCGGGGGCUCAACCCUCGGAUGACCCGGUGGAUACUGUCGGGACUUGAGUACGGAAGAGGCGAGUGGAACUGCGAGGUGUAGAGGGUGAAAUUCGUAGAUAUUCGCAAGAACACCAGUAGGCGAAGGCGGCAUCACUGGCCCGGUAGCGGACGCUG
rnacentral:rRNA from 1 species